CAGCCGUAAACUAUGCUCGCUAGGUGUCGGGCAUGGCGCGACCGUGUCUGGUGCCGCAGGGAAGCCGUGAAGCGAGCCACCUGGGAAGUACGGCCGCAAGGCUGAAACUUAAAGGAAUUGGCGGGGGAGGCACAACAACGGGUGGGAGCCUGCGGUUUAAUUUGGACUCAACGCCGGGAAGCUCACCGGAUAAGACAGCGGAAUGAUUGCCGGGCUGAAGACUCUGCAUGACUAGCUGAGAGGUGGUGCAUGGCGUAGACGUCU
rnacentral:rRNA from 1 species